AAACCAUGACAGAGGUCAUCGAACCAAGCCUAGUUGACCAUUGUAAUGCUGUGUUGUUUUACAAGCUUUGUAAAUACUAUUAUUGAUAUGAUAAUACUCUUUAAUAACCGUAUUUGACAUAAUGACUGCCACUUUGUGAUGUUCGUUGAUACUUAAUUUACAGAAAAGAUAGUCUUCUAACUUAAAGAGUGGUAAUUCUUUUGUAUUUAACUUGUUAAGGAUGAAGUAAAGACCAUAAUUAUUAAUACACGGUUAUAAUUGGUUAACUCACAAUUUUUAAUAUAGUAGUUGCAUGUUAAUGAUUAUUAACGUAGAGGUUAUGCAUUAGCAGUAGCUGUAUAUUGCAUUUAGGAAAUCACGAAUACAUUUUGUAUUUUUUUAUUGUCUCUGACAGGAGCUAUAGCAGACAAAGAAUUAUGAUACAUGAUUAUUAUAUGGUUCCUUGUGAAGCACUGUAAUCCAAGCUUGGCAUAUUGUGCAUACAGUGCCUGGUCAAGCUGGGGGUUUUGUUUUGUAACAAAGUAAUCGUCAGUUUCUGGAUUAUGGUUUUUUUGGCGUUUUCGAACAAAUAAACGACAACAGAGAAGUUA